rnacentral:rRNA from 1 species
UACGAAGGGGGCUAGCGUUGCUCGGAUUGACUGGGCGUAAAGGGCGCGUAGGCGGUUCGUACAGUCAGACGUGAAAUUCCUGGGCUCAACCUGGGGGCUGCGUUUGAUACGUGCGGACUUGAGUGCGGAAGAGGGUCGUGGAAUUCCCAGUGUAGAGGUGAAAUUCGUAGAUAUCGGGAGGAACACCAGUGGCGAAGGCGGCGACCUGGGCCAAUACUGACGCUGAGGUGCGAAAGCGUGGGGAGCAAACAGG